AGUGAACGCUGGCGGUAGGCCUAACACAUGCAAGUCGAACGGCAGCACAGUAAGAGCUUGCUCUUACGGGUGGCGAGUGACGGACGGGUGAGGACUACAUCGGAAUCUACUUUUUCGUGGGGGAUAACGUAGGGAAACUUACGCUAAUACCGCAUACGACCUACGGGUGAAAGCAGGGGAUCUUCGGACCUUGCGCGAUUGAAUGAGCCGAUGUCGGAUUAGCUAGUUGGCGGGGUAAAGGCCCACCAAGGCGACGAUCCGUAGCUGGUCUGAGAGGAUGAUCAGCCACACUGGAACUGAGACACGGUCCAGACUCCUACGGGAGGCAGCAGUGGGGAAUAUUGGACAAUGGGCGCAAGCCUGAUCCAGCCAUACCGCGUGGGUGAAGAAGGCCUUCGGGUUGUAAAGCCCUUUUGUUGGGAAAGAAAAGCAGCAGGUUAAUACCCCGCUGUUCUGACGGUACCCAAAGAAUAAGCACCGGCUAACUUCGUG
rnacentral:rRNA from 1 species